GAUGAACGCUGGCGGCGUGCCUAAUACAUGCAAGUCGAGCGAACGGACGAGAAGCUUGCUUCUCUGAUGUUAGCGGCGGACGGGUGAGUAACACGUGGAUAACCUACCUAUAAGACUGGGAUAACUUCGGGAAACCGGAGCUAAUACCGGAUAAUAUUUUGAACCGCAUGGUUCAAAAGUGAAAGACGGUCUUGCUGUCACUUAUCGAUGGAUCCGCGCUGCAUUAGCUAGUUGGUAAGGUAACGGCCUACCAAGGCAACGAUGCAUAGCCGACCUGAGAGGGUGAUCGGCCACACUGGAACUGAGACACGGUCCAGACUCCUACGGGAGGCAGCAGUAGGGAAUCUUCCGCAAUGGGCGAAAGCCUGACGGAGCAACGCCGCGUGAGUGAUGAAGGUCUUCGGAUCGUAAAACUCUGUUAUUAGGGAAGAACAUAUGUGUAAGUAACUGUGCACAUCUUGACGGUACCUAAUCAGAAAGCCACGGCUAACUACGUG
rnacentral:rRNA from 1 species